rnacentral:lncRNA from 1 species
CGGCUUAAUUAUAUAAAAAUAUAACAAAAAUUUAUCUUACAAAAGGUUCCAUCAAAACCCUAGAUAACAAAUUAGCUAUUCAUAAUAGUAUGUAAAACUACAAUACUAAAAGUCAUAACCAACAAUGAAAAAUAGGAAGAGGAAGGAAAAACUCGUAGAAGAACUCCCCGCCUUGCUCCUACUGUGUCUCUGCCUCCUUUGGCCGAAUCUGUGUCUCAAAUCUGUCCAACCUCCUCAAAAUACCAUUUUUUCAUGUAUAUAUACCAAGUAGGGUUGGGCUCAAACAAUAACACCUUCUCCUAUGCGAAAAAGGACACAUUUCUUGGACAGUACAUGCGCGGACGCGCUUGGACCAUGCUCAGACCGCGCAUAUCCACUUUGAUUUUGCCUGACGAGCGCGGCCGCGCUCUUGACGUGAAAUUUUCACCCUAUUCCAUUUGGAAUUUGAAAAAUAUAAAACAUGAGAGUUGUAGCCCUUUGAGUUAGCUUUCCAACCAUAUAUUGUGGAGCCCAAAUGGAGUUCUGAGCAAAAAAGUGUGCAAUAUGCCUACUCGAUUCUUCGUUUGUUCUAACUAUCAUCAGUUGACCCCCGAGCACGAUCCCGACUUAAUUCCUUGAGCUUUUACUCAGAAUUCAAAGCUCCAAAUCCCUUGAGUUCAUUCCAUAACAUCAACAUAGCUGGAAAUUACUCCUAUAAGGCAUAAAACACGUAAUUAGUACAAGACACUAGCGAUUAAAGCUCAAACUCAAUUAAAGUGCAGUAAAUUUGAGUGUAAUAAGCGACUAAAACACGUAAUUAUAGCUAUCAUCAGCAUGAUCUAUACAACACAAACGAAAAGAGCAAAUGCAAAACUUCCAUAAAUGACUCUAUUCGUAGAAAUACUAGAGAUGCCUAUGUUCUUGAUUCCCCACGUGUCCUAUUAUUCUAUUAUCUAUUCGUGGGUCUCAGAAAAUACUCAAGUUGAUAAAGUUUACUUCGUGAUAUUAAUCAAAAGCAUAAUGGUCUUAUCAUAUUCCGAAAGAUUUUAUUAACAUACUUCUCAUGCAUUGCAUUAAUUUACAUGUACAUUGACUCAUGGCCAGAUGACACUAUAUACGCGUAUAUAUGUAUACGAGAUAUGGAAAAAGGUUACAUAGUUAUAUAUGCACCACCACAUGAUUAGUUGGUUUAUUUUUAUGAUUUUACCCGUAGUGAUCGAGAUGAUGUGAUGGGAUGGCCUCAGAGGCUUGAUGAUGUUAUGAACAUAUAUACCUAUGCACAACAUGACAUUCAUACGCAUAUACAUGACCGUAUAAUUAUUUCAUGAUUUACAGAGUUAUCCAUACUUAUAGCUUGGGUCAUUUAAUCCAUGUAUCUUCCAUGUAUUUUAUAUACUUAUUUAUACGCCUUACAUACUCGGUACAUUAUUCGUACCGACGUUCUUUUUUUGGGGACAAUGCAUUCAUACCUACAGGUAUAGGCAAUCAGUUUGACGAGCCCUCAUAGUAGACUGGGUUAACAUUUAGCGAAGGAUCAGUAAGACUCCUCCUCAUUCGGGAUGCAACCAAGUAUAUGAGUCAUCGUGUCAGAAUUUUGCUAUAGACUUAUGGGUAGGUCGGUACCCUGUCCUAUUUGACGUUUAUGUACUCUGAGAGGCUUGUAGACAUAUGUCAUGUAUAUGAAGGAUUGCAUGGACUUGUCAGCUAAUGUUCAGUGUACGAGUGAUCAUUUUGGUCUUAUACACCAGUAUGUCAUAUGUAUAAGUUUGUAUUCCUUCAUACUUUACUUCAGUUCAUUUACCUAUGAUAGAAUGAUAUGAAAGAUACAUUAUAUUGGUACUCGAUUGAGUAAGGUAACGGGUGCCCGUCGCAGCCUAUCGGUUUGGGUCGUGACAUUCUCCUUCAUCAUGAGAAGGCAUGUCCAUCGCCAAUUGAAUAGAAUAAAUAGCUCCCUCAAAGUUAGAAGAUGCACUAGCUAUUUUGGUCACGAAAAUAGGAAAAAGUUGAAGAUAUAAAAGAGGUGAUAAUGGCAGAAAACGCUAAAAUGGAGAGAAAGAAAGCUGCAAAAACUCUGAGGGGAAUAAGAUAAGGCUUGAAAAUUCAGAUACUAGGAAGUGAAACAACCCAAAUAGGUGAUCCCCUUCUCUAUUUAUAAGAAAACUGUCACCCAAUCGAGAAAGCCAAGCCCCGCCACAUUGUUUUCAAAAUAGAAGGGGCGCGAGAAAUGACGCAACAUAUCGAGAACAUGUGCCAUAAUAACAUAUGAUGAAAUGACAUCAUUUCAAACUAAUGUAACGGUCAGAUGUUGUUCUCUCGAAGUGCCAUAUUGUAACCCCAUCAUAUAAAUGUUGCUACUCGACCGCCACGCCCAGAUUUCUCAGGUUGCGAGUGGCGAAGUUCUCCCACCGAGCUCGUCCAAAAAACAACCUUGGCAGACGGAGAGACUAACUAUAUGGGUCGAAAUCUGACCAAGGGAAUCGUGCUCAAAGGUAGAUUACUAAGAGUCGAUUAGGCUGAGGUCGUACUCGAGAUAGAAGGAACCAAUUGGCGAGCUGAGUAACCAAUGUCGAGGUCGGAUACUCAGGUUGGCCAUUAAGGCUAGUUUUGUAGCAAGAUUUCAGGAGGAUAUUCUAUUGAAUAUUCUCUGUACUUGUACUUUAUAUUAGGUAAGGGAUAUGUCCCAUAUAAAGGGAAAGGUAGAGAGAAGAAAGUGGCAUGUAAUGUUCUAUAUGAUAAGAACUCUUAUGAAGAGUUGACUCUCAAUAGAAAUAAAAAUAUUGCCUUUCCAUAAAGAUUCGAUUUGCUAUUUAUCCCACAUUUCCCCCAUCAGAUCCGAGAAAAAUCCCUCUAUUCUCAUUUUCGUUAGUCUACAUCAUUGUCAGAGUGAAGAAUCAUAUACCUCAUUCAAUGUUGGGACGAAUCAUUCUAUAUAUUUACAUUUAUUUCCAUUUAAUAUAUCUAUUGUGUUAUGAAACAAUAAAAGAACAAGAGUAAUAUUGCAGAGAAAGAGAGAGAAAAUUCUUAUUGAAUUUUUGGGGUUGUGACCCCUCUAUUUAUAGGAGGAAAAAUAACUUAGCCUCAAAGUAAAAC